UGAGACAUGUGUACGAAAGAUGGAGCGCAUUUUCAGCUUUUUCGCUGCAAUGACCAAGAGCGCCUAACUUGCGUGCCCUUUUUAGCUGACUGGGUCAGCUGAUUUCUGGUGGGAAGCAAGGAUGAAAACGAUGUCAGCAGAGCAGUUAGAAAACCUAACUUGGGAACAAUUCAAAGCCGGUAUAUAUGACAAGUAUAUACCCAAGAGCUACCGCAAGAAAAA
rnacentral:lncRNA from 1 species